GAACGCUAGCUACAGGCUUAACACAUGCAAGUCGAGGGGCAUCAGGAAGAAAGCUUGCUUUCUUUGCUGGCGACCGGCGCACGGGUGAGUAACACGUAUCCAACCUGCCCUUUACUCGGGGAUAGCCUUUCGAAAGAAAGAUUAAUACCCGAUGGCAUAAUGAUUCCGCAUGGUUUCAUUAUUAAAGGAUUCCGGUAAAGGAUGGGGAUGCGUUCCAUUAGGUUGUUGGUGAGGUAACGGCUCACCAAGCCUUCGAUGGAUAGGGGUUCUGAGAGGAAGGUCCCCCACAUUGGAACUGAGACACGGUCCAAACUCCUACGGGAGGCAGCAGUGAGGAAUAUUGGUCAAUGGGCGCUAGCCUGAACCAGCCAAGUAGCGUGAAGGAUGAAGGCUCUAUGGGUCGUAAACUUCUUUUAUAUAAGAAUAAAGUGCAGUAUGUAUACUGUUUUGUAUGUAUUAUAUGAAUAAGGAUCGGCUAACUCCGUGCCAGCAGCCGCGGUAAUACGGAGGAUCCGAGCGUUAUCCGGAUUUAUUGGGUUUAAAGGGAGCGUAGGUGGACUGGUAAGUCAGUUGUGAAAGUUUGCGGCUCAACCGUAAAAUUGCAGUUGAUACUGUCAGUCUUGAGUACAGUAGAGGUGGGCGGAAUUCGUGGUGUAGCGGUGAAAUGCUUAGAUAUCACGAAGAACUCCGAUUGCGAAGGCAGCUCACUGGACUGCAACUGACACUGAUGCUCGAAAGUGUGGGUAUCAAACAGGAUUAGAUACCCUGGUAGUCCACACAGUAAACGAUGAAUACUCGCUGUUUGCGAUAUACAGUAAGCGGCCAAGCGAAAGCAUUAAGUAUUCCACCUGGGGAGUACGCCGGCAACGGUGAAACUCAAAGGAAUUGACGGGGGCCCGCACAAGCGGAGGAACAUGUGGUUUAAUUCGAUGAUACGCGAGGAACCUUACCCGGGCUUAAAUUGCAGUGGAAUGAUGUGGAAACAUGUCAGUGAGCAAUCACCGCUGUGAAGGUGCUGCAUGGUUGUCGUCAGCUCGUGCCGUGAGGUGUCGGCUUAAGUGCCAUAACGAGCGCAACCCUUAUCUUUAGUUACUAACAGGUUAUGCUGAGGACUCUAGAGAGACUGCCGUCGUAAGAUGUGAGGAAGGUGGGGAUGACGUCAAAUCAGCACGGCCCUUACGUCCGGGGCUACACACGUGUUACAAUGGGGGGUACAGAAGGCAGCUAGCGGGUGACCGUAUGCUAAUCCCAAAAGCCUCUCUCAGUUCGGAUCGAAGUCUGCAACCCGACUUCGUGAAGCUGGAUUCGCUAGUAAUCGCGCAUCAGCCACGGCGCGGUGAAUACGUUCCCGGGCCUUGUACACACCGCCCGUCAAGCCAUGGGAGCCGGGGGUACCUGAAGUACGUAACCGCAAGGAUCGUCCUAGGGUAAAACUGGUGACUGGGGCUAAGU
rnacentral:rRNA from 1 species